GCGUUGAAAGACCUGUUCCCGUAUGAUCACCGAAGUUAGGCGACGUUGAGCCUGGUCAGUAGCUAGAUAAGUGACCGUUUGGGAAUACCAGAAGCCGUUA